rnacentral:rRNA from 1 species
UACGGGGGGAGCAAGCGUUGUUCGGAUUUACUGGGCGUAAAGGGCGCGUAGGCGGCUCGUGACAAGUCACUUGUGAAAUCUCCGGGCUUAACUCGGAACGGUCAAGUGAUACUGUCGGACUAGAGUACAGAAGGGGCAACUGGAAUUCUCGGUGUAGCGGUGAAAUGCGUAGAUAUCGGGAGGAACACCAGUGGCGAAGGCGGCGACCUGGGCCAAUAUUGACGCUGAGGUGCGAAAGCGUGGGGAGCAAACAGG